UGGAGUGGAGGCGGCGUCAUCGUGUCAACGACACGCGCGACUGGGCUGCUCCGGAGGUGAUCCGCAGGUUCUUCCCCCACGGCAGCUGCGGCGUCGAUCGGGGCGGCCACAGAGUUUACAUCUUCAACAUGGGUGGCCUAGACAUGAGAGGCCUGAUGCAGUGCGCGAGCCGGGUCGACCUCGUCCAGUUCGGGUUACCUCAGUCAGGAAGAAGCAAUGAGCACCUAAAGUGACUCGAACACACCCCACCACGGGUGGAUGAAUCGGAGCGCGUGCGCUCUGACCAACCGAGCCGCCGCGGCGGACGAGCGCGCGCCGAGACACAUUGUCGCCACUGCAGCAAAUAGAAGCUGGAACAAGCAUUCCGUCAGAAAAAAACGUCUCAGGAACAAGUCGCAGAAACCUGGGAGCUUACUAAUCUGUGUCGCGAUCGAUGAGUUGCGUUGGAAACUGCCGUACGUCAGAACUUCCAUUAAAUAAUCGCAUGGGUUUUUACGCGUGGGCUAGGACAGUGUUGCUUUCCGUUUUUGCGUAGUUCGCAGAAUCCUAAGGCAGCAUAUCGGUUUCUAAGCUGCGAAAUACAGCUUUAGAAUGCGUUCAAAAGCGAUGAAAUAGGCAAAGACAAGUUAACACGGAUUGCCGCCAGCUGCGCCCAUUCUAACAAUAGAAGCUCUGCAAAAUAAGUGUCUGUUUCAGAACGAAAGAGACUGAAAUGCUUGGUACUCAAAUAAAACUUCUGUUGCAAACGGACUGGUCGGAACGUUUGAUAACCAUGUAUGCUAAUACAGGUACUACCCACAUGAU